ensembl:snRNA U6 U6 spliceosomal RNA
GUGCUUGCUUCAGCAGCACGUAAACCUGGAAUGAUACAGGCGAAACUAGCGUGGCCCCUGCACAAGAGGGCAGGCAAAUCCACGAAGUGCUCCAGAUUUUU